GUGAUAGAAACACCUGGGACUACACGUCCGGGAGCGAUCUCAGUUGGGAGUGUCCAUCUACCUCCCGGCCUACUUGUGCCAAAAUCAAGUUGUUUUGCUAACGAACUAAAAUGCAUACCCUGGUAUUUAUGGUUACAGAUCAACGCUGAGACCAAGGUUUGCUCUGAGCACUUUGAGAAGCAGUGUUUUGUAAAGACCGCCCGUGGUAUCACAAAGCUUAUAAGGAUGCCGUGCCAACUUUGUUCGCCUGGACUUCAGAGAGGUCAAAGAGGAGAAUCAUCAUUCGCAGACCGAGAGAUGAUGACCCAUUCCUGAAGUUGGACGCCAGAAUGCAGGAAGGUGCUGUUUAAGAGCCUAGGCGGUGGAAGAAGCACUUGCAGGUAUGCUACCGACCAGGCUCCUCAACAUCAAUCAGAGACGGAAGAUGAACCGGGAUGAAGCAGUUAGAUUGAGACAAGGCGGCCGGAAACUUUGAUGACCUCAAUGACACUGGCUAGGUGAAGGACAUCAAGAAAAUGGCAUCCGGUCACCAGACAUCAGCUCAUAAGCCACAACGUCAUCAACCAUUUUGCGCCAAAAAUGAAGCCGUUCACAUACCAUGGCAUCCUAAGCAGGCAGCACCACACUACUGUGCAACAGUGAGAGAGAGCGGGCAAGGACAAGUAAAACGGACCUACACUACAGCAAGACUUUGACACUUCUCCGCGUGAGAGGCAGCCAUCGCCCCCACCGUUGAGCAGUGUGUACCCAGUACCCCCAAAAGAGGAGAUGAUCCGACGCCAUCACAGCCGAUUUCCAAAAUUGUACACCAAACUCUGUAUGGGCGUGUGUGUGUGUGUGUGUGUGUGUGUGUGUGUGUGUGUGUGAGAGAGAGAUAUUGUAAAACUUUUCAGUCCUUCUUCUAUACUAUACAGUGUAUAAAUAUACAUGUGAAAACCUAAAUAUGAAUUGAAAACCAUUACUGAGGUUAAGAAAUGCAUUAUAACAAAUACAUCUGAUUCAGGUGUACUGUACAUUGAAAUGUCUUUAUUUGCCACAAAUACAUCACAUCCUGGAAACCUGUACAAUGUGUGGAUUCAAAGGUCUGACAGAUCUUUGUGACGGCACAGGAUUGCAGUGGAACCCAAACAUAGCUUAGGAACUCCCACAAUAGCGUAGGAACUCCCACGCCAUCUCACCAACUGCCGAUAUGCAGUAUGCCUGAAUUUCCUGUACAGCAAAGAAAUGUAGAGAUUGUGCCUUCAUCGAGAAUAGGUCAUUUGGAAUCACAACAAUUAUUCAAUUUACUUUGUGCGUGUGGUGUAGCUAUUGCUGUUAUUAUUAUGUUACUACUAGUGACCCAUUUUUAGUUGAGCUUAAUAGUCUACAUGCCAUCUCUGCACUUGUGUUACCACUAUUGGGAUUGGCAGCUCCCUAAAUGAAAAUGAGAAAAACUUGCCCGGAUGAAAUGUUAUGAACUGUGUGCGUUGUGCUGCUUGCUGAAGUAACAUGACACCCACAUCACCUUCCAGAAAUAAAGUGUAUACAGGCUACCUAACCAGAGUCCUAGAGACCUGUUGCUGCUGUGUGAUGAAAUCCAGGCAAAGACCCACCUGCUUUGGCAAUUGCUGCAACAUGUAAAAAAGGUAGACAGAUUAGGCCCCUGUAGAUAUGGCAUGUGUAGAUGGA